rnacentral:misc_RNA from 1 species
UGUGUCUGCGGCACACGCAAACCACUUACCACCCCAAACCCCACCCCCGACGCGCGUUACGCACGGCGCGUUGUCCUGCUACCUGUGCCUGUCCCAAGAGCGAAUAUGUGUUGAAACUCAGGCUGCUCUUCCUCUGACUUCCCCCUCCCUCUUGCCACAUUCCUUUCUCAACCUCUCACUUCUCCCAAGUUGUGCACGCUUCCCAGUGCGGCUGUCCAACAGCCGAGCAGAAGUUGGGGGCAGUCACUGAGCUCGUUGUUGAAGCCCACCAGCGGGCGCGUGCUCGGUGGCUGCGCGGCAGCACGAAGGGGAAGGAAUUCGAGAGAGAGAGAGGGGGCGACUCCUCUUCUUGUGUGGCUUAUCCAAUCAUUGUGCUUGCUUGUUUUCGGGCGUUACGGCAGCACAUCGGCGCUGCCAGGUGUUGCGUCCUCUCCUCCCUCUGCUGCUGCUGCUGCUUACACUCGACCUCUGACUGCCCUCCCUCGCUGCCCCAGCAAUACAUCAAUGCUCCGCUACGUGCAAGACUUAUGGAGCGCCUUCUUCCCCACGGAGGCGGUCUUUCCACUCCAAGUCGUCGGCAGGUCUGGCGCUGCCGUAGAAUCGCGAGAGGAGUUAGAGAAGGCGCUCACCGACACAUUUCUCAUCUUCACGUACCGGGACGGCUUCGAGGCGAUCCCGGCUGUCACGCGCCUGAUCGAGACAGACCAGGGCUGGGGCUGCCUUCUGCGCACCUCGCAGAUGCUUCUGGCUCAUUUCUUGUGGGUCCACGGCCGUCCAGCGGAUCGCAGACUUUCUCUUUUCUUCGACCACAGUGCCGAGACGGCGCCGUUCUCGAUCCACAACAUGAUCCGAAGUUUAUGGAAUCGGCGGGCGUUCAAGGCGGAGUACUGGAGCCCAUCGCAGGGCUGCGAGGCCAUCAAGCGCACGGUGCAGGGUGCCGUAAAGACGGAGCAGCUGCAGACGCGCGUGAUGGUGGUGACGUCCACAAACGGGUGCAUCUACGCCGACGAGGUGCAGCACACUUUCAAACAGGGGGCGGAUGUGGUGCUCGUCUUGGCCUCCGUGCGCGUGAGUGCUGCGGCGCAGCUGACGCAGGAGAGCUAUCUCCAGAUAGAAAAACUGAUGGAGCAGCCGCAGUGUCUGGGGGUUGUCGGCGGAGUACCAGGACGGAGCUACUACUUCUUUGCUCACAACCAAACACAGCUCUUCUACCUGGACCCGCACCAGCGAACCGCCGCCGCGCUGCUGAGUGAGGGGCCGUCCGCCGCGGUCUCUGUCACGCCAUCCGUCGCCGAUGUGCGUUGUGUGCAUUGGUCACGCGUGGACACGUCGCUGUUUCUCGCCUUUGCCGUUACGACACGCGAUGAGUGGGCCGCGCUGGAGGUGCAUCUCUCUAACAGAUUUAUGCACGUCGAAUCGCAGCGGACGCAGCGCGACUGCGAUCAGCUCAGCCGUGCGCGGCCGGGGCACGCCGACGGCACCUUUUUGUCCCCGCUGCAGACGGGCGAUAAUUGUGGGAUGGGCGGCACGUCAAUUUCCGAGGUGGCUCCACUAGCACACCGGCGUACAUUGCGGGUGCCUCGCAAGAGGUUCAAGGAGGGUGAGGUAGGCACUGCCACCGCUGCGAAAGCGGAGAGGAAUGAUGGUGAAGACGAGGUUGACACGGACUCGUGGGAGUAUCUGGAUUGAUGCUGCUGCUGCUGCACGUGCCCACCUUCGUCGUCCGCCCCCCCCCCCCCCCCCCCAUCCCCCUCGCAUUCUUUUCUCGACGAGCGGCUGACGUUGUCCUCCCAUGCACCUGCUGCGUUGUGUACCCGUCAUCGAGCCGCUUUACUCGUUUCAUUGCCCUCCCCCUCCCCCCUCCCCCCGAUGAACAACUGCUUGUCUGUUGCGUGUUGCCCCCCUCCCCCCCCACGGACAUUGUUGUCCGCGUUGCCGUUUCCUUGCGCUUCUCUGCACUGCUUUACGAGGGGCCGCCGCUCUCUCUCUCUCUCUUUGUUUUCCAUGCAGUGUGUGCCACUACGCGUGUCUGGGCGUGGGGUGGGGUGGGGGCACGGUUCUCUUCUUUUACCCUGCUGCUGCCCCGCAAAAAGCCACGGAGCUCAUCGGCCCCUCCUCGCCUACCUCUCGCUGUUCUGUAUCGACGGCGCUCUGGUCUCAGCCAUGACGCUUGCACGCGUGCGCAUAUUCCCAUGCACGCACAAGGGAGACCAAGCACCUCUUUUCUCCCCUCGCACCACAAAAACGAGUUGCACACAUACCCACGGGCACGAGCAAGAGAAGUGUCGCUGAAGUACGGCAGCACAUCUCUCGUUGUUUCACGGCUCUCCUUUACUAUUCGGGCGUUGGUCUCUCUCUCUCUCGCUGCGUGUGUGCUCAUCUGUUUCUGCCGAAUGGCGGAAAAACGAAGAGACACUGCUGCCAUACGUUGUUGGCUGUCACCGUCCCUCCUCCACAGUGGUCACCGCGUGCUUGAGCAGACAUGUGGGCGUGUGGACUGGCAACCACACGCCCUUCUCCGCGUUCAUUUCCGUGCACGUGGUGGGGCCCGCAUCCCCUAAGGAUGCACCGUAUUGUGAGUGCCGGCGACUUGCUCCUGUAUGUGUCUCUCUCUCACGCCUUUCCCUCUCUCUUUGCUUCUCGCCCUGGACGUUGCCGUGGGUGCGGGGGGCGACGGCGAUGUUUGUAACGCGUGCCUGUGCACCUCUCUCUUGGUGCACAUGCCUGUUUUCUCUGUUGCCACAG